rnacentral:rRNA from 1 species
GACGAGGGACCCUAGCGUUGUUCGGAAUCAUUGGGCGUAAAGCGGGUGUAGGCGGCUUUAUAAGUCAGAUGUGAAAGCCCUGGGCUUAACCCAGGAAGUGCAUUUGAUACUGCAAAGCUUGAGUGUUGGAGAGGUUACUGGAAUACCUGGUGUAGUGGUGAAAUACGUAGAUAUCAGGUGGAAUACCGGUGGCGAAGGCGGCAUCCUGGACCGACAUUGACGCUGAUGAGCGAAAGCUAGGGGAGCAAACGGG